rnacentral:tRNA from 1 species
AGUUCUGUGGUGUAUGUCAUAUUGGGUUGCAAACCCAAAGGCGCAGGCUCAAAUCCCUGCCGGAGCUU